rnacentral:rRNA from 1 species
UACGGAGGGUGCAAGCGUUAUCCGGAUUCACUGGGUUUAAAGGGUGCGUAGGCGGGCAGGUAAGUCCGUGGUGAAAUCUCCAAGCUUAACUUGGAAACUGCCGUGGAUACUAUUUGUCUUGAAUAUAGUGGAGGUGAGCGGAAUAUGUCAUGUAGCGGUGAAAUGCUUAGAUAUGACAUAGAACACCCCAUUGCGAAGGCAGCUCGCUACACUAUUAUUGACGCUGAGGCACGAAAGCGUGGGGAUCAAACAGG